UCCCCUGUUCAGGUUUCUCCUCUCAUAAGCUACUCUUUUUCUUUCAUUGUCUUCUCCGUCAAAUCCUUCAAUCUCAAUCUUGGCGUGUCCAUGAGCAGCUUCUGUUCCCAGCCAACUUCCCCUGAGGACGCCCUAGAUCUGGGAUAGCUAGAGAAGGAGGACGACGGCUGGUGCAUUCCUCCGGAUUUCAGCGAUUCUCCUUCCUCAAGCCAAGAUGGAGAGGAAUUUGGUGCUACAAAUUCAGGAUCUCAAGUUCCCGAGGUCACGCCAGAUUUUUUCAGUGUCCCAGAUAUUGACAACACCGACAAAGAGAGCCCUCAUCUGAAUCGCAACACACUCAAUCUCCGUGGCCUAAAAGGUACUAUCUCAUCCGUUCUCACCACUGUGGGUUGCGCCAGAUUCAGCCUGAAAUAAGCACGGUCAUUGAUAUGUUCAGUAUUUUGUAUUUGUAUACAUGGAUGUUCCUAUAUAGACCGCUAUUGUAUGUAAAAUGUUCAGUAUUUCAUUGUAUCAUGGGCAGUACAUGUACAGUAAGAAAAUUUGGAGAAAUCUUUUGUUUUUCGCUGACAAAAGUUUGAUUGCUUGGAGCAGAUUGUUGUUACUUUGGAGUAGUCGGAUGAUGUUACAAAAUCCCCACUUCUUAUCAGUGUUCAUAAACAUGUCGUUUGCAAACAGUACAUGAUUCAGAUUUAUAAUUGUGUCAAGGAAUCAUGCAACUCGCCGCUUGGUUACAGUUAAACAUAUAGUCAGAUUUUUCUACUACAUUUUUAGGGCAUUUAUAUAGUCAAUUUGGCAUUGACAUGUACAAUAAGUCAAAAUUAAGUGUGAACAGUUAUUGAUGCUAAAAUGUUAAUUUGUUUCUAGCUAAGUGGAUAUUAGUUCUGCCUGCAUAUUUGAAACACUUGCCGGUACACAACCCGAUUUUUCUGAAAUCCUCAUUGUGUUUUUAAACAGUGCAAAGCAACUAAUUCUGAGCUCAAGUCAGAAUGAUAGGCAUUGGCAUGUACACUAAAAGGGAUUUCACUUGCUGCUAAAAGUGUCUUUCUUUCGAGCAAAUUGUUGUUGUUUAUGUUUAUGUUUAUAAUAUUCAUAACCCUUGGCUGACCCAUACGGGUUUGCGGGAGCAUGUACUCAUGAUGAUACACUAUUUGAUCUUCCCAAAUCAUCAUUCAUAGUUCUGUGCAGAGCAAGUACUUCUGAACCUACAUCAGAGUGAUGUGCACGACAAUAUUUUCCUAAAUUGUUUUUCUUCGCAUUAUGGUUAACAACUCUCAAAUAAGUAGGGUUCUUCUUGGCAAGGUACCUGACUGCAGUACCAAAUUACUGGGAAGGAGAAGUGCUUUGGAGAAGGCCAUGAGAAAUUACGCAAAUAUGAAGUCAGAGUUCAUCAUUAAGACAAAGUGUAUCGAGUGCAGCAUUCCAGGCCACAAAAACUUAGUGCUUUCUAUUGUGAAGUUCUCUCGAUGUUGGAGUUCACUCGCCUUGAAUUGCUCGAUGUUGAUGUUAGUGCUUAUACAUUGUUUUGGUUAUCACUGACUGGACGUCCCGAUUAGAAUAUUAACAUUCAGUUGGCUGGGUUGCUGCUGACAGAGAAACUUAGUCCCUUUUUUGUUUUGACCCUGAAAAACUUAGUGCCUUUUUUGUAAGGUGAUGAACAAAUAUUUUGCUGUUCAAUUGAGCAAUUCUAUGUAAACUUCUCGCUGCUCAUUUGCGCAACAAUGCGAAAACUUAUUGAUGUUACUGUUGUGGAAGACAAAAGUCCAUCUUAUCUGAACAUUUGUUGUACAUUUUGCCCAAGUCUCUGUAAAAUUAUCCUUGUUC
rnacentral:lncRNA from 1 species